UUGGUUAAUUUCUUAUUCUUACUUCUUACAACCUGUACUUUACUUUCAUUGUAGACGGACAUUGUAGAGAACGUCACAUAGCGCUUCCCUCAGUAAGUUUCGGCAACGGCAGCCAUAUAUCGCGUCUCACUGUGCCGCCGGUUUCCCGCGAUCGCAAUGGCGUAAUCACUGAGGGACCGCCGACCGGAUCCACGAGGACGAUAUCGUCGGGAAAGGUCGAGCCGGCCGUUCCUUCUUCGCCGUACGUGAAGAACGCGAGGGAGAUCGCCAAUUCAGCGAGGCUGAGUCGAUUCGAGGUAUCGCUUGGGCUCGUCUCAUCUCGCCCCGCACUCCAUGGCUUUCGACGGCAAGGAAUGAUCGAGUAAUCAUAGAGUUCCUUCGUGCAGCGACAGAAUCGCAACGUCACGGUCGUUAUUGCGUUACUUGUGGCACUCGAGGUCAUCAGAUCGAGGUAUCAGUUUUUUCUCUGUAACAAUAUGGCGCCAAGUAAAAAAGAGCGCGUCACAAUCGUCCAAGUUUUCUAAUUACUUUGCGGUUAAGUGGUAUGUAGUAAAAACACCAAUGCCCGCGCCUAAUCUUGAUCAUUUUUAUCGUUUUAAUCCUUAAAUGGUUGAACUUUCAACAUAAAAUGUAUGUACAUAUAUUCCAUAUUGUAAGAUUCUAAAAGAAUCUUACUCUACUAAAAUAAGUAUCCUUCGGUUCGACAAUCGAUUUGUAAGACGAUUUUUGCUCGAGGUGUGUAUCACGAUGGAACAGUGGGAGGAUUUCGCAAGCGGACGAGGAAAACCAGACCGUGAUGUAGAACACGUCCUCGUCCUCAUGAACGCGAAGAAAAAUGUCCGGAACGGGAGUAUCUCCUCGACACGAAGCGACCAAACGAUGAAGGUAUGUUUCUCCAAUCCGAUCGAUCGAUAUCACGUGUAAUAUACGCGUGACUGCGUGUCGUGGUAACGCGCAACCGCCGGUUUCGCUUACGUUCCCUCGAUUUCUCCCGGUAUUCGCGACGUUAACGCGUUCCAUGGCGUGAUGGACUCUGGAUCGCGUCCACGAGAGAGUCGAGGAUUACACGUUCGGCGAGACAGAGUAAUCAGAUUCGAUUUCCUUGCGUUCUCGCUUGCCGUGUCGUUCGAUUUGCAUCUUGCGGAUCAUUCGUGCAGCUGCGCGCAAGUAUAAUAAUGCGUUUUGUAUAUAUUUAAUUGUAUGUCGACAUGUAGACCGCAGAAAGCACAACGAUCGAGUGAGCGUUUAUUGUCGUUGGAAUAUUCUUCUACAUACAUCAUGAGUAUAAAAGGGUAUCUUGAUCAAAGGCAAUAAUCACUUAAUGAUUGCACAACUGUUAUGCUUUCUGAACGCACCCAAUGUACGUGAAUUGUCGGACUGUCGUAAAGUUCAAUUUUAUAUCGUAUAGAUACAUGUAGCAAACGUUAUAAAAAAUUCAAGAGAUAAUUCUAAUCUUUCGAUACUAUUGUGUUCUAACUAUUGUGUUCACUAUCAUAUAGAAAACAGUAGAAAAGAAUCAUGUUCUCGACGAACGUGUUGAGUCUGUGAAUAUCUCACAACGGAACAAUGUUGAAAGUAUUAACCCUUUGACAGGUCUAAAAAGGUUUGAGAAAACGAAUGCUCAAAUGUUUCAUGAAGUAAAUUAUAUCUCCUGAAUACGGUUAUAUUAUUGUCAAAAUGCCACUUUCGACAAAAAAAUUGUUCACGAUUUUUGUCACCUAACGGCAAAAAUCAAACUAUCAUCGAGACAUCGACCA